rnacentral:rRNA from 1 species
GAAGGUGGCCUGUGAGGGUUGCUGGAGGUAUCAGAAGUGCGAAUGCUGACAUAAGUAACGAUAAAGCGGGUGAAAAGCCCGCUCGCCGGAAGACCAAGGGUUCCUGUCCAACGUUAAUCGGGGCAGGGUGAGUCGACCCCUAAGGCGAGGCCGAAAGGCGUAGUCGAUGGGAAACGGGUUAAUAUUCCCGUACUUGGUGUUACUGCGAAGGGGGGACGGAGAAGGCUAUGUUGGCCGGGCGACGGUUGUCCCGGUUUAAGCGUGUAGGCUGGUUUUCCAGGCAAAUCCGGAAAAUCAAGGCUGAGGCGUGACGACGAGGCACUACGGUGCUGAAGCAACAAAUGCCCUGCUUCCAGGAAAAGCCUCUAAGCAUCAGGUAACAUCAAAUCGUACCCCAAACCGACACAGGUGGUCAGGUAGAGAAUACCAAGGCGCUUGAGAGAACUCGGGUGAAGGAACUAGGCAAAAUGGUGCCGUAACUUCGGGAGAAGGCACGCUGACACGUAGGUGAAGUGAUUUACUCAUGGAGCUGAAGUCAGUCGAAGAUACCAGCUGGCUGCAACUGUUUAUUAAAAACACAGCACUGUGCAAACACGAAAGUGGACGUAUACGGUGUGACGCCUGCCCGGUGCCGGAAGGUUAAUUGAUGGGGUCAGCGCAAGCGAAGCUCCUGAUCGAAGCCCCGGUAAACGGCGGCCGUAACUAUAACGGUCCUAAGGUAGCGAAAUUCCUUGUCGGGUAAGUUCCGACCUGCACGAAUGGCGUAAUGAUGGCCAGGCUGUCUCCACCCGAGACUCAGUGAAAUUGAACUCGCUGUGAAGAUGCAGUGUACCCGCGGCAAGACGGAAAGACCCCGUGAACCUUUACUAUAGCUUGACACUGAACAUUGAGCCUUGAUGUGUAGGAUAGGUGGGAGGCUUUGAAGUGUGGACGCCAGUCUGCAUGGAGCCGACCUUGAAAUACCACCCUUUAAUGUUUGAUGUUCUAACGUGGACCCGUAAUCCGGGUUGCGGACAGUGUCUGGUGGGUAGUUUGACUGGGGCGGUCUCCUCCUAAAGAGUAACGGAGGAGCACGAAGGUUGGCUAAUCCUGGUCGGACAUCAGGAGGUUAGUGCAAUGGCAUAAGCCAGCUUGACUGCGAGCGUGACGGCGCGAGCAGGUGCGAAAGCAGGUCAUAGUGAUCCGGUGGUUCUGAAUGGAAGGGCCAUCGCUCAACGGAUAAAAGGUACUCCGGGGAUAACAGGCUGAUACCGCCCAAGAGUUCAUAUCGACGGCGGUGUUUGGCACCUCGAUGUCGGCUCAUCACAUCCUGGGGCUGAAGUAGGUCCCAAGGGUAUGGCUGUUCGCCAUUUAAAGUGGUACGCGAGCUGGGUUUAGAACGUCGUGAGACAGUUCGGUCCCUAUCUGCCGUGGGCGCUGGAGAACUGAGGGGGGCUGCUCCUAGUACGAGAGGACCGGAGUGGACGCAUCACUGGUGUUCGGGUUGUCAUGCCAAUGGCACUGCCCGGUAGCUAAAUGCGGAAGAGAUAAGUGCUGAAAGCAUCUAAGCACGAAACUUGCCCCGAGAUGAGUUCUCCCUGAGACUUAGAGUCUCCUGAAGGAACGUUGAAGACGACGACGUUGAUAGGCCGGGUGUGUAAGCGCAGCGAUGCGUUGAGCUAACCGGUACUAAUGAACCGUGAGGCUUAACCUU